UAUGUUUUGCUAAUAACUAUGGGAUAAACCUCACCCAGCUGUGUUUGACAGAGAUCAAGUGUAAUAACAAAUUGAUAAUAAAUAUUGAAUUCCUAUAGAAGAAUUUGAGCUGAAAUUCUCUUUGCAUGAAUAAGAAGACUACACUUUACACUACAUUUGUAGAAUUUGGAAGUAGAAAGUUGAGAGAUCCAUGAAGAUUAAUCUGUCAUAAUUCAACAAUCUGUUAUACUUUUAAACAAGGCUCUACUGAACAAGGUCACAAAGGACAUUCCUCAUUGUUCAUUAAAGCUGCUAUUUCCUUGUAUAUGGUACUGCAGGGUGGAGUACAACUGUUUUCUGCAAAUCAACCGAGAAAGCUAUCAGAAUACAAUAAAAUUCAAAUGUGCAUUCUUAUCAGAUCCUUCCCUAAGAGGUAAAUAUUUCCCUAAGAGGUAAAUAUUAUGUCAGAUAAUUUAAUUCCAAGGAAAAGGUUUUAGUACUCAAUAAUCACUAUGGAUUUUGUCUCUGAGUAGUCUGCUAUUCUGCCAUUUUUAUACUGUAUUCCAUAUUGAAGUGCAGGAUUAUGCUACCAGUUUUUUGUUACACCAUUUCACCAUGUGAAAUGAUGCCAGCUCACCACUCUGUGAGCAGGCCAUUCUAGAUUUAGGGCUAUGUUAUAGGCCACAGCAGCAGUAGGUGGACUCGGUUUAGGCCAAAGGAAAACAGGAGAUUUCUUAGGGUAGCAACCUUCAUUCUUUUGCUUCUCCAGCCAGAAGACUGCCUGCUCUGGAAGCUCUCAUGGGCACUCUCCAGCCUGCUGCUCCUGAGGGACAGGCAGAAGCAGUGUCCACUUACACCAGAUCAUUGGUGUCCUUUUCCUCCCUGGACACAUCCCAAACCCAAACCCAGACUACUGGAAAUAUAUAGACACAUUCUAGCUAUUUUCAAGUCUCUUACUUUGCUGUAACUUCCCUAGACCAGCUUCCUUGAUCUCUGCUGGAUUUCCCAGAUCUUGUUCCACUAACUGCCCUCUAAGCCUGAGCUGGUCACUCCAGACACAGGAAGAAGAGAGCAAAAUUAAUUCCAAUCUGCUGAGAAAAUUUAGGAUAGCCUUGCCUAGACUGACCUCAGGUGAUAUGGUCUGUAAAUGCAAUCUGGGACAUUUUGUACCCUAACAGUCACAUGAAUUCUGCAAACACAGAAAAUUUUGAAUGUGGUUAUUUAAACUUACACCUGUUAUACAUAUAUAAACUGAAUUAAUCUAACUAUCAUUCUCUUAGGUACAGAGUUGUUUCAGCAUGUAUUUCCCACUUUGAAACGCCAUGAAUACUGGCAGCACAGAAGCAGCAGUUAGUGGGUUAUGACCACACUCAUUAAGGUGUGUGGGCCAGGGCAGGUGACUUCAGGGAGGCAUGGAGGAAGAUAUGUCUUAUUUGAAAGAAUGCAUGGAAAAUAAUUAUAUAGAUUUAAUGCUCUUCUAUAUUAUUCUUAUGAAAAAUUUAGCAAUAGAAAGAUUUAAUAUAUUUUUCAGUCCCUUUAUCUAAAUUUUUCCUACAGUUUAAUAUUUAGUAACUUGUCCUGUUUCAUUCUACAUCUUCUUGCAUCUUAAGCAAUGAAGGUGCUACCACUUCCCUUAGAGAAAUAUUCCAUAACUUGCAAUUUUGCACUUGUCAGGAAAUUUUCUCACACCAGCUUGCAUGCUUCCUGUACUAAUUUUUUCCAGUUCUGCUAUCAGUAUCCUCAUCUAUUAUUUCUAGCAAGAGCAGCAAUGAACAUUGUUGCUACUACUCUUGCACUAUUCCAGUAGCUGUGGGAUGCCCCCAGUACUGCUGCAAUCUAACAGAGAUCCCUGCCGCAGAGAAGUAAAACACAUGAAUUAACAUUAUGGCAACCUCAUGAGAAUUCAUUACCCAUGAAACAUUUCCUCUCUUUUUCAGUGACACAUAGAUGCAGCCAAUAUUUUUAUUUUGAAGUGCAGAAGAAAUGUGCCUUUUGGGUUUGACUAGAACCAGUGAGCGUACAACUUUGUGAAAAGUGUGAAAACUUAACAGAGAAAAUCAGUUUGCCAAAACACAACAUGGCUGUUAGUUGUAAGGGCAACAGUUGCAGCUGGACUUUGGUGAAUAGAGCAACAUCCAUGAAGGCAAGGUAUUGCAAAUGGUCAAAACUGAGCAAUAGAUUUCCAUGGGGUGUACUAUGUUUCAGUUCUGAAUUUUAAAAAAUGAAAAUUUUGAAUUUUCUUUAAAGAUAAUGUUAUAGAAAACUUGUCACAUGUAAUUGGAAUGUUUGCUAAAGCCAUAAACUUUUGUUCUGUCAUAUUUUUUUUUCCUUGCUGUAAUGUUAUAAUUCAUAAGGUUAUGUACUGGUUUUAAAGUGUUAUUUUAAUUUAAGAAAAAUCUAAAUUACUCAAUUUUUUAUUCUGUUUUAUAUAAGUAUGGAUAUGUCUUAAUCCAAGAUUUUGCUGUCAUUUUAACAGCAUUUCCUUACAGGAGAAUAUGCUAUUGGAAAAUUUUCAAGUAUCAUUUUUUAAUGCAUAAGCCAUUCUUCUUUAUAAAAUUAACAUAUCAAGAUUAAUAAGAGUAGUGAAUUUUGUUGCUUUCCUGAAGUAGAAAUUUUACUUAAAUUGCCCAUUGCUCAGGUGUAUGGUUCAGUGCCUAGAACUGAAUCAGGUAAUUUUUUACAUAAUUUGCACAGUUUGCCAGUAACUUGGGUGUGAACAACUAAAGAAAUCCAUUAACUCCCUGUAAGUGCUGGAGUCAUUAAUUCUUACAGCUGUGUACUCAUCAAAUAUAUGGGAUGAAAAAUCAUGAUUCCUUGAGUAAUAUUUUUUAGAUAGCUUGCUACGGAUCAUACUUUCCAUUGUAUAAUUCAAUUUUCAAUGUUUGUACAAUGUGAUAUGGUUCAGAACUCAGAAAAUAAAUUCUUAAACAAAAUACUGAAUGGUGCUGCUUUAUCUGCCAUUCUUAAUUGUUAAAAGCAAAACAAUUGAAUAGUACAGGACAGAAUCCAGAAGCUGACCACAGAAGUUUAAUGGCCAGUUGUUCUAUAUGAAGAUACUCAGCAUGGCUUGCCUAAGAAUCAUUACUUUAUUUUUGCAUUAACCAUUUACAAGGUUAGGUUUGGGGAAUUUGCUUAUCAAGCUUAUACUGAUAAUCUAAUAUCUUUUUUUUUUUUUUAGUCCACAUAUAUACAGUGUUUUGAAAGAGGGCUUUGGAACUACACCAAAGGGCAACUACUUAUCUAACCUGCAUCUAGAGGAGUGGCAGAGGCAAAUGUUGAACUGGAAACAUUAAGGCUCAACAAAGGGACAUGGUUGUCACAAGGAUGUGAUACUAUCCUCACAUUAAACAUUCCCAGUCAUGGGGAAAAAUCUGGUCAGUUCAGUCCAGCUUUGAUCACUGCAUUUGUACCGAGGGCCUGCCCCAGCACUGCAUGCCGACUGCAAGCCUGACUAGGCUCCUUCAAAGAGAUCCUUACGUAGGAUGUGGCUUCCUGUGCUGGGUUAAAAUCACCUGCUGAAUUACCUUACCCUAAGAGCAUUCAUUUGAAAUUAUAUGAUUACAAGAAAAGUUACUUCAGGAAUACUGGCCUGCCUGGGGUUUCCUAAGGAAAAAUUUUUAAGAUGAAACUGUAAAACAGUAAAAGGUUAUUGAGCGGUAAAAGAUUAUGGAAAUCUACACCGUCAAAAAUAAGCCAGUUUCAAAAUACCUUACUAAUUCUUUUACUCAAGGACAUAAUACAUAUGAGUCCUUUUAUAGAUCUUUUUCUCUGUGCAGUACAUGUUUUGUAAACUUUCAGCUGGACUAGAUUAAUGGGAAUAGAAAUGAAGGACAAAUCCUUGUCUCUGAUUCUGUAGGAUCAUCACAUAUAUUUAAUCCCAAACACCUGAUUCCCUCUAAUUCAAACCUUAAAGCAUGAAGGAUCAAUAGUCCAUUCAUGACUGUUACUAGUAAUACUGCAAAACAGACAGCUUUUAUGGUACUUAAGUAAUAUGUGAUAUCAAUAUAUAUCUCUGAGAUAUACCAGAGACUUUAAGUGAAGAUUUUGGAUUUUUUAAUGCCCUUCUGCCUCAUGACACUAAAAUGUGAGAGCAUGGUGACACAGAGUAUCCACAUGAAAUGGCACUGCAGUAUCAAAUAGACACCAGCAGGUUUGCAGCCAAAAAUUAUAAUGAAAAGAGAGAAUGUUUAAAUUUCAAAAUAAUGUAGAAAACACAAAUCAAUAACUGUAACAUAAGAAAAAGGAGGGUAAAUACACCGAAAUCGGGGGAAAACUAGAGCCACAAGCAAGAAGGUAAAAUGAAAUAAUUAAAUUGGGUAACUGUGGGGUUUUUUAAAAUAUGCUAGAAAGUAAACUGUGGGUACUGGAGAAACUGUCGAGCCAGGUAUUAACUGAACAAUUCAGAAAGAAGUUUGGAACAUUCAUGGGAAAUGAAAUGUAUCAAAGAGGUGAAAAGAAAACUGUAAACACAUCCAAGAAAUCAAUAAACUGAUUAGUUCUAUCAAUUAACUGAUAGAAAACACAAAGUCACAUAAUCCCAAAACCAUGAAGGCUCUAAUACACUGAGUCCAAGUCCUCUCUAGACAUAUGAUACAGAGCAACACUGAAUUGCUGAUGCACAACACUCACAAAGCUGAGGGAAACUUCAUCCCAGUGCAGAAAUCUGUCUUUGAGGUUAAAUUUCUCCUUAGCUCUGUAUCCAGAAAAAGACAGGAUUGCUCCAGUUCCAGUCUUUAAUUUCUUUGUGGAUGUCCAGAACAAUAUCAGAACUGGUGGCUGACUCAGACAAACUCUCAGUUGAGUGUGGUAUUCCAAUUUUAAACAUUUUGUUAUUCAUUCUGUGAUCACAUCAUGAGAUCACACCUGAACUCUUGUUUAUCACAAUUUUAUUACAUUGGGAACUUUGGGUCUCUGGUGUCAUAGUGUGAAAUUCAUUCAUCUGUAUUAGACUGCCUGAAAUGCUCUAUGUAUGAAAUGCUCUAUAGACUCCUCCUUGACCAGAGAGAAAAAUAAGCAGUCCUAAAGAAUCAUUCAUUUUAUCUACUUCAGACAUCUCUAGAAGAGACAAAACACAUUCCCACAUGUGUCAGCAAUGCUCCAUUAACUGCAAACAGGGCUACAGGUGAGUACCUCAGAGGGAGAUUUCCAUGAUGCAGGUGUCUCUCACUUUAAAUGAAAGUACCUUAGAACAGUGCCAGCACUAUAUGAAUUAAGUGAAUUUUCUGACAAAAAAUAACUCAUGACAAGAAAAGUAAAUGUGAAUUGCCUGCGGGUAACCUGGUGGCCAAUCAGAUUUCAUUUCAAUUGGAAGGUGAGCAUAAUUUAAUUGAAUUUUUUGACUAACAGAGAGAUGAAAAGGCUGUUUCUAAGUCCAUUUGUUAAGGAUUAUUCAUCAAGUUGAAACCAAAUACGAAAUUAUUUUUCUUCAGAUAUGAUCACUGUUUUUCACAGAGAUCAGAAACUAUUGGAAUUGGAAAAAGAAUGUAAAACUGCUAGGACAGAAAUUCUGGCCCAAGCAGUACCACAGAGACAAUGAGGUUAUGCAGCCAAAUCCAGGCAGGUGGUGAGGGGUCUCCUUAGCCAGAAACUAACCAGAAUCCAUCAUAAAUAUCAUGACCAUUUCCAGCUUUAUAUUCAGUUUGCAUUAAUCUUUGUGUUAUCCUGAAGAUGUUAUUUCACUCCCCUGAAUGCCUUCCCUCUGCUUUCCAGGCAUCAAAAGCCAGAAUAGGAGAUUUGCAGGACUGAACCUGAUCCUGUCCAGAGUAGAGUAACGAUCAGAGAGUGAGCACAGUUACUAUUUCUGCAGCUACUGCUGUAUUUGCCAAAAUUAAUAAAACUACUAGUCUGGGUGUCUAACAAAAGGUACAUCAAAGUUUGGUGCAAUGGUACAGCAUUCUGGAAGUUUCAGAUCCCUGCAGGAGGUAGUGGUACUUAACAACAAGAUAAUUUCUAACCCACAUGCCAUGAACUGUGUGAUGAGCUUCAUUAAAAAAAAAAAAAAA
rnacentral:lncRNA from 1 species